rnacentral:lncRNA from 1 species
AACAAAAUUGCCAUUCAUCUCAAACUAUCAACAUCUUUACAUGCAAAUGUCAUCAAAAGGACUUUUUCAAGGCUUGUACUGAGGUUUGGCUAACAAGAAAAAUUGGUUUUUCCGGAAUACCAAAUCCUUGAGUCAAGAGAGCUAUCAAAAUAUUCAACAUUUAAGCACAACUCUCUCACCAAUGUCUCUCAUUCCCAACUUCUUCCCUUUUCUUUUCUUUUUCAUUGAGCUCAUCUUCAUGCCUUUUUUCUUUUCUUUUCUUUUUCUCAUAAUUUUUUUUUCUUAUCACAACAUUUGAGCUCAAUGCUUCACAAUUGCUUUUCAAUUUUCCCCCAUACAAUCCCAAACUUGAACUUUUUCAUCACAUACAAUUAAG